UACGUAGGGGGCAAGCGUUGUCCGGAAUCAUUGGGCGUAAAGCGCGCGUAGGCGGCCCUGUAAGUCCGUUGUGAAAGUCAAAGGCUCAACCUUUGAAAGCCGAUGGAUACUGCAGGGCUAGAGUCCGGAAGAGGCGAGUGGAAUUCUCGGUGUAGAGGUGAAAUUCGUAGAUAUCGAGAGGAACACCGGUGGCGAAGGCGGCUAUCUGGACGAUGACUGACGCUGAGACGCGAAAGCGUGGGGAGCAAACAGG
rnacentral:rRNA from 1 species